CGGGGAUAACUAGCGGAAACGUUAGCUAAUACCGGAUAGUCCUUUCUGGCGCAUGCUGGGGAGGGGAAAGGCGGAGCAAUCUGUCGCUUACGGAUGGGCCUGCGGCGCAUUAGCUAGUUGGUGAGGUAACGGCUCACCAAGGCGACGAUGCGUAGCCGACCUGAGAGGGUGAUCGGCCACACUGGGACUGAGACACGGCCCAGACUCCUACGGGAGGCAGCAGUAGGGAAUCUUCGGCAAUGGACGGAAGUCUGACCGAGCAACGCCGCGUGAGUGAGGAAGGUCUUCGGAUCGUAAAGCUCUGUUGCCAGGGAAGAAGGGCAA
rnacentral:rRNA from 1 species